GAGCGUAAUCCAGCAACCGAGGACGUAUAGGAAAACUCGAAGAACUUUCGAAACGAGGAUUAUUAAGAAAUCAAAAAGAUUUACGGUACUUCCAUUCUUGAGUAAAUACCGAAACUAAUAUCGAACAAAGUUGUGAUUUAUGAUAGAAUCUUUAUCGAACAGCUAACUUGAAAAUAUCGAGUUUAAGUUGUAAGCGAGUAAGUUCCAGAGUCUCCUUCGUGGGCCACGGUGCUCAAGAAGAUUAUAAAAAGUUAUAAAAGUGCGUUGUUGGAAGUUAAGAAUUAUAUUCUAGGAUUACUGAAAUCCCUUUAUUAAGAUGUAUACUUGUAAACAGAACGAAUGGUUUAUUGACGAAAUUUUUGACUUUACAUUUACAUUUUUCUUGUUAUCAGAUGAAACAAAUUUUUCAAGAAAGUUUCGAAGUGGCUGUCGGUUCAUCUGAUUUCCACAUUAUCACCCAAAAAGACAAGUGGGACGCAUAUGUUCCAAUUUCCUACGCCACUGCUUUCUACAAAUAUUUAAUCUCACGGUUGAUAUAUGCGUGAGUGAAAAACAAAAAUGUGUGGAAAGGAAAAAGGCAGUGGACAAAGAGGGGUUAAAGAGGGAGAUUAGAUGACUCAACUUUAUUUUCCGAUAACUAGCUAACCAAUUAUACAAAAUAAAUGUCUCUAGAGUUCAAAGCUACUACCUCUAAAUAAAAAUCUCUCGCAGCAACGUUCAGCUGACGAGAUUACUCGCAAUGUAAAAACGAAUUGCGAAUUGAAACUGAUUUAAAAUUGCACGAUGAACCAACCACUGGGUUCAGGGGGGGGCAGCAACCAAUUACCUGCAAGUUGGCAAACUUUUACCGUCAGGAUGCGGUCUAGAAACGAGAAAAGAAGAGAACGAAUCGAGACCUCGAUGAAAUCGCGAGUACGAGAUACGUGUGAUAAGUUAAUUCGAAACGAGUCGAGAAAGAGAGAGAGAAAGAAAAAAACGUUUUUGCAAACAAUUCGAUUUCCUUUCAAGAAACAAAUACACGUAGUCAGAUCUGUUCCUUCUCCUUUCGUGACGUUUCUAAUUAACGUGGAGUAUGUGACGGUUUCGAGGCCAUCGACGAGCGCGCGAGUAUCGAUAUUGCCUAAGUUUUUAUUCGUAAUAACUAUGCGCGAAGGAAGAAGAGAAACUCGAUUUUGCCAGCAAUUAACACAACAUUGUCGUAGCCGCGAAAAUAUUCUCUUCUCUUAUCGCUGUGUAUAAAUAUUCAUGUGUUUGUUUUUUCCGUUUCACUUUGUAUACAUACGUAUUAUUAUAAUAUUGCACAUCAUUAUUACAUUUAUCUGGAUACUAAUUUAUCUAUCUACGUAUUUAUCUUCGUGUACUUUAGCUUCGUGUAAUCUAUACCUAUCGAUUAUCGUUUCGACUCGAAUAAAUGAUGAAAAAUUCGACUUGGACUUUUUGUUUAAAAUUAUGAGGUAGAAUAAUAUUAUUCUGAUCCAAGAAGAAGGAAAAUUAGACAAUCACGUGGCUGUAGAGUAAUUCGAUCGUGUAUGUUCGUCUUUCGAAUUUACCUCCAUCGAUAUCGUGGAAUAAAUAACUUGCAUAAUAUCGAUAUAAGAUACUCGCGAAGAUAGAACAAUGUACGCAGCCGGGAUGCAAGGAUAUUGCGUUUUUUUCUUUUUUAAAUAAGGAUGGAUUACGGUAAUCGUUGUAACAGGCGAACGACCACGGGUAAAAAUAUAAUCGACGAGCUUGGCCAAUCGAAACCUUUGGAAGGACGUAAUGAAAACGGAGAUGAGCAAUAAAAUUAUGUUUUAUAAAAGUGCCUUUUUAUGUCAUUCGACGUAUACCGGGAUACGGAUCUCGAUAGAUUCGAGUAUGGUGAUUCGUUAAGUACUACGCACUACCUUUGCUCGUUGUUUUUCUCGGCCGGUGUUCGUAUUGCGUAAGCGAUUUAUGAACCGGCGAGAAAAGGAAAAACACGUUGCAUUAGCCUUCUCGAGGAUAAUAAAUACAAUCUGAAUCCGAAAACAGCGAUCGAUAGGACAUUUGACGGAUGCAUGCGUUUAACUACAUGUUUUAAACAUUAUAACUCGGUUAUGAGUCACGCAGUUGGUUAAAUAUCACAGUGGUCAAUUUUCAUGCGAGGCAAGAAAUCGUUUGAGAAACACUUUUAAUUUAAGUUUCGGUAAAAUGGUCAUCGUAGAUCAGACCGUUUCAAAUUUUUUUUAAUGAAAUUACACCUUUUCCAUAGUGCUUAAUUUCUGCCGAAAGCUAAUUCAAUUGGGUUCUUGAGUAACGCGUAAUCAAAUAAAACCUCUUGUAAGACUUUAAAAAGUGUUGAACUCAAUUCCACGACCCGGAAUCCAACAACGAGAUAAACAUCAUUGAUCGCUUUCGCAGCGUAAAAUUCAGACUACGAUUAAUUUAUAUUCGAAGCGAUUCGAAUCGUUAUUAAAUUAACGAUUCUUAGCAUCUUAUCGAUCAAUAUAAGAAUUGCAAGCUCAGAAUGAAGUUUCGGAAGAACAACUUGCUCUCUAAACGUCCUGAACCUGAUCGACCACGAUAAGACGGGCCAGUUGAAUGAAACUGGAUCGCGCAAACUCGAUUGGAGACGAUAUCUCUGGACUUGGUCCUGGCAAACGCGACGAAAAGCGAUGUCAAGGAACUUUCGUCACUGGAUGCCGGUCAAUCGAUAACGCUUUUUGCAUGCGUGUCGACCAGCUGGCCGAGGAAAGCGUAAAUGCACACACUGUUGCAUAAGUAUCCGGUGUGCGAAGAGCUGGCGACCUUGGAAUAUCAAAUACUGGAAACGUAAGAUGAGCACGUAAAGGCGAUGAUUCGCGAGCCUCUUGUUCCCUCUCGAGCCACGAAUUAAUCGUGCGAGACAAGGAAUUUGAUGGGAUCGGGAAAUGAUCACGAUAACGAUAACGGUUCGCGAAGAAAAAUUAAGGAAAUUUCGUAAGAAACGAUGAAGUCAUGUUUUUAGUCGGGAUAGUAUAAAUGUUAGAAAUAUUCGUGUAAUUAAUUAGAGAAAUUUUUAAAGAAAGAUUAUAUUUGUGAAUCAAUUGUUUAUUCAUUCUCCAUUCUUUCAGAUUGAUUUAACUUUAACUUGUUUUUCUUUGUGUUUUCUUCAUGAUCGAAGUGAUGUCUAUAAAAAAGAAAUCUGCAUCCUUUUAUGAUUAUUCCAAGGCUGUUUUUUUUUUUUUUUUAAGUUCGAAGGCUAGCCUUCUUUUAUCUUAGUAUCAGAAACACGAAAAUGUAUCAAUCUAUUUUUAAUUCGAAAAAAAAUAUAUUCUUUAAACGAAAAUCAUCGCUUCCUUAUUGCUCAAACGUCGUUAUCUAAAUCUUUGAUUAAAAUUUUACGAUAAAAGAAAAAAAUCUUGGAUAAUCUUCUUCGUUCGACCUUCGACAGAAUUAAAAUAAUACGAUAAAGAGAUUUUAUCCUUCGGAAUUGUUUUAACUGCAGAAUUUGUUAUCAAGUAAUAGAUUACUCUAUAUCUUAAUAACCUUCAAUUUGAAACUUUGAUGAUAAUAAUAAUAAUAAUAAUAAUAAU